UGACUCUAAAAAUAACCAGCACAUAAGGGAGAGGUCAGACAGAGGGGAAAGCCAGGCAUGGUCCUUUGGCAUCUGUGUUAACCUACUCUGCACACCCGCAUGUGUAAAAUGCUCUGAGAGAGACAGAGAGGGCACAGCUUGAAGAACAGACAGGCAUUACUUACAUGGAAGUGAUGGUUCAGAGAACAGACCUGAAAUUGCAGACACUUUUACAACCUAACUCCAGGAAACAGGACUAGACUCCAUCCAGUUCCAACAAAGGCCAAUUCCACAGCUGUGACCCAAGCAUGCCCAGUGAAAAGCAUCACAUUUAGAAACGGCCCUGCUCUGUCCUGAGUUUCCAAGCAUUUUUAUGGCCCGGGACUGGCAAGGGGUUUCUUUGCCUUGAAGUCUAGGCAAAGAUGCUCUUCAAAGCAAUGAAGAGCUAUUGCCUCCAAGAAGCAGUUAGAAAAUGUAAAAAAAGAGAAGAAUUAUCCCAAUGACAUGGUAGACACUGGAAAAGUGAAGAACGAAUCUCUAUAGGGUCCAGAUGUUAUUUCUCCACAAGUAAAAAAUAAAUAACGUAACCUUUCUGUCUCUGGACCAAAGGCAUCUGAUAGAGAUGCUCUGCAUUUAUUGCAAAAUACCCCACAGGAUAUUUGAAAGCUCUGAUUUAAUCUUUAAUUUCUCCCCAACAAGGUGAGUGCCUGAACUGAAGCAGUGCAAUAAGACAGAAGUUUCACCUCUGCAACUAGGAGUUGUUCUAAGUCCAUAAAUAUUCACCUGCCCUCUGGAGGUUCUGGAAGGGGGAAGGGUCAAAGUUUCAAUUGCCUCCUUGGUACCUGACCCCACUUAUCUUGCAGUUGAACACCUCCGAGGAUAAAGUCUUGAGACCCAAUGAGGUCAAGGUACACAGAGAUGUCAAGUGGAAGAAUCUGAGGGCCUUGGAAAGUUAGAGAUGGGCGAAACUGAGAAUCACACAGCCCAGCCCAGAGAAGGGAAGUGACUUGCUCAAAGGGACAAAGCCAAGACUAGAACCCCAGGCUCCAAGUGCCCAGAGAAGCGCUCUUUCCACUCACCCUCACCACCUCUCACAAAUGGACAAAAAAAUCCUGUCCGCACUGUGCAUUGUGCAAAACAUGAGAUUGGGAACUCAGUGAGGUGGGAAAGGCCUUGUCUGAUUCAUGUCCGUUUCUCCAGCAUUGACUAGUUCACCCAUAUCCCCACCUGAGACCAACAGAAGAACUGGAUUAGACUCUUUCUGAUAUCUGGUGGC
rnacentral:lncRNA from 1 species